rnacentral:lncRNA from 1 species
UCCUUUUGUUUGUUUGUUUGGGAUUUUCUGUAGCUUUGGAGCCUGUCCUGGAACUUGCUCUGUAGACCAGGCUGGCCUCGAACUCACAGAGAUCUGUCUACCUCUGCCUCCUGAGUGCUGGGAUUAAAGGCGUGCGCCACCAGCGCCCAGCCCCAAGACUGUUCUUUACUACAGACACUCAUCACAAGCCCUAGCACAGUGAGAGCUUCCAAUCAAUUGGCUAGAAAUUGAGGUUGGCACAGAACAUUCCUUGGGUUCCAUUAAUUUUAUAGGUUAGCUCACAGAUCUUUGGAAAACACUCACUUUAGUUUACCCUUCCUUCAAGAUGUGUUUACAUGCUGGGUCUGGAACCUUCUCCACCCUGUCACACGGUGGCUGUGGAUCAGAGAGGAGCAGUGAAUAGAGAUGGAAAACAAAAUCACACAUCUGAUCGACUGACAGAAAUGCAUCAUCCAUCUCCCCUCCAUCCCUGCCUGGCAAACACUAGGUAUUCAAAGUGGCCGCCAUCCUGAUGCCAUCUGUAAGGAUCCCUCACCAGAGGACCAGGCUGUUUGGAUUUUCCCACUCCUCUCUCCUUUACAUUGCCUUGGGGAUUUCAUUAGAGUAACCACCAGUGUCUACAUUGUAAUGUCCCCUCUAUCCGAGUGCAGAGGAAGAACUCGCACCCAAACACUCAAACACAUUCAAAACAUUUCCGGUGAGGUAGUUUGGCUCAUCAGAUGAAGACACUUGUCACAAAGCUGGAUGGUCUGAGUUCAAUCCCUUAGCUUGCAUGGUGGAAUGAGAGAACCAAGCCCCACAUGAACACUGUACACACACACACACACACACACACACACAUCAUACACACACUUUGCAUAAAUAUAAUCAAUCUUUCUCUAGUGAGGCAACUUGUUGACUGGGAGACACAAAGGCAAGCUGUUCGCUGAUCACUGUUUGGGUAUCUGAAUCAGGAAGACGCCAUCAUCUUCCUGUAUCUGUCUUUGUUUAUGACUGUCCCCACAGCAUUCAGAAAAAAAUUCUCCCUGGUAGAUUCUGAAGCCCUUAGCCCUCCUUAGGUAUGUCUUUUUUUUUUUUUUUUUUUAGCUUUGGAGCCUAUCCUGGCACUUGCUCUGUAGACCAGGCUGGCCUUGAACUCACAGAGAUCCGCUAGCCUCCUGAGUGCUGGCAUUAAAGGCCUGCGCCACCGCCACCCGCUCUCAUUCCUUCUGUGUUACAAUAAGGACAUUCAUUAUCUUGAUCUAAAACCAAUUUACAUGUGGUUAUAUUAUAUUAUCCAUAAAUUUCACUUCUGAAUAAUGAAAGAGUAUAAAAACAUUUAUUAUGACAUAAAUGUAUGAUGAUAAAAAUCAAAACAGCUGUUACCCCAGGAGUUAAGAUGUGGGUGGUGAGAAGGCUGACUCCAAAGGGGUUCAAAGGCACUUUCUGGAAUGUUGCAAACAUUCUUUCUCUGAAAUGGGGUGGUGUACCGUUGUCAAAUCCCUUCAAAUGGCACAGUUCAGGUUGACAGAUUUUAUUGUAAUCCAACAGUAAAUUAUACCUUACACAAGUGAAAUCAAACAUACAUUUAAAAACAUUUGUACGAAAAAGUUUUAAAAUGUAUUUGGCCAUUUAAUCUUUAAUCCCAGCACUUGGGAGCAAUAUAGCAGAGGCAGAGGCAGGUGGAUCUCUGUGAGUUCAAGGCCAGCCUGGUCUACAAGAGCGAGUUCCAGGACAACCUCCAAAGCCACAGAGAAACCCUGUCUCGAAAAAACCAUAAAAAAGAAAUAAAGAAAGUAAGAAAGAAAGAAAAACA